rnacentral:sRNA from 1 species
UGAUGUUCCUCGCCCACCCCUGAAGAUCCCAAGUGGGCUAGGGAAUAAUCAAAGGGAUC